AACAUGGUGGCCUAAAAAUGUAAUAAAAUCAAUUUAUAAUUUACUUAACCAUUUAUGUUUAGUUUACAACAAAAUGUGUAAUUUAGGCAACCAAUAAUACACAUAACCUUAAUCUUAAAAGUCUGCAACUUUAAAAUCAUGAAUUUUUAUUUAAAAAACUGGUUUCUGAGCGAUUACGAUAAACAAAACUUCGCGUUUGAAUAUAAACAAAUGACGAAAACGAAACGCAAUAAGUAUUUUUAACCGCAGCAAAUGCAACAAUGUCAAAGAGUCACAUAUUAAUCAAAUCCAAAAACUACUUUAAUGAAAUAAUGACAUUACGCAGAAGUUUACUUACUGAUGCUAUCGAAAGUCAUAAUGAUAUCGCUCUCGUCGAUGGCGUUGCGCUCUUCUCCGCUAAUAUCAAGAUCAGCAGAACGCUCUUCGCGACCAUUUUCUUUCUCCAGCAAGCUGCGAUAGACGUCCAGGAGGAAUUUAGGCGCUGAUUUGGUGAGCUGCUUUUCGCUCAUACGCCGCGGCCGGCUCGGCAGCCCGAGCAAAUGCAGAAUCUCCAGCUCCACUUCACGCUUCUCCUGCAUGGUCAAGACAUGCUCGAGCAUAGUCUGAUCGCGUCCGU